GACGAACGCUGGCGGCGUGCUUAACACAUGCAAGUCGAACGGAAAGGCCCUGCUUUCGUGGGGUGCUCGAGUGGCGAACGGGUGAGUAACACGUGAGUAACCUGCCCUUGACUUUGGGAUAACUUCAGGAAACUGGGGCUAAUACCGGAUAGGAGCUCCUGCUGCAUGGAGGGGGUUGGAAAGUCUCGGCGGUUGGGGAUGGACUCGCGGCUUAUCGGCUUGUUGGUGGGGUAGUGGCUUACCAAGGCUUUGACGGGUAGCCGGCCUGGGAGGGUGACCGGCCUCAUUGGGCCUGAGAUACGGACCAGACUCCUACGGGAGGCAGCAGGGGGGAAUAUUGCACAGUGGGCGGAAGCCUGAUGCGGCAGCGCCGCGUGCGGGAUGCCGGCCUUCGGGUUGUGAACCGCUUUCGCCUGUGACGAAGCGUGAGUGACGGUAAUGGAUAAAGAAGCACCGGCUAACUACGUG
rnacentral:rRNA from 1 species